rnacentral:ncRNA from 1 species
UACUUUUGCCGCUCGAAUCACACGAAGUGAGUCGGUACAUAAAAAUCAUUUUAAUAAUAUUGGCAUG